AGCCUCAUUUUAGAUGAACAUGGGAAUUGUUGUUCUUGGUGUCCAGAAAUUGUUAAUGUGGCUACAUUGAGAGGCAGGUCAUGCUUCCAUCACAGUUGCUUUAUUGCAGUGGUGACAAUGAGACCUGUAAUACUU